GACGAACGCUGGCGGCGUGCCUAAUACAUGCAAGUCGAGCGAGAGUCGGACGGGUGAGUAAUGUAGGGGGAAUGCCCGAUAGAGGGGGAUAACUACUGGGAACGGGAGCUAAUACCCCAUACUAUAGGAUAGACCACAUGGGAUUAGCUCGUGGGUGAGGUAAUGCCUCACCUAGGCGACGAUCCCUCGCUGGUCUGAGAGGAUGAUCAGCCACACUGGGACUGAGACACGGCCCAGACUCCUACGGAGGCAGCAGUGGGGAAUAUUGCACAAUGGGCGCAAUCCUGAUGCAGCCAUGCCGCGUGUAUGAAGAAGGCCCUAGGGUUGUAAAGUACUUUCAGUCGGGAGGUGUUACCGACAGAAGAAGCACCGGCUAACUCCGUGCCAGCAGCCGCGGUAAUAC
rnacentral:rRNA from 1 species